rnacentral:rRNA from 1 species
ACUCAAAUGAAUAGACGGGGACCCGCACAAGCGGUGGAUGAUGUGGUUUAAUUCGAUGCAACGCGAAAAACCUUACCUACCCUUGACAUGUCUAGAAGUUACCAGAGAUGGUUUCGUGCUCGAAAGAGAACUAGAACACAGGUGCUGCAUGGCCGUCGUCAGCUCGUGUCGUGAGAUGUUGGGUUAAGUCCCGCAACGAGCGCAACCCUUAUCAUUAGUUGCUACGCAAGGGCACUCUAAUGAGACUGCCGGUGACAAACCGGAGGAAGGUGGGGAUGACGUCAGGUCAUCAUGGCCCUUAUGGGUAGGGCUACACACGUCAUACAAUGGCCGGUACAGAGGGCUGCCAACCCGCGAGGGGGAGCUAAUCUCAGAAAACCGGUCGUAGUCCGGAUCGCAGUCUGCAACUCGACUGCGUGAAGUCGGAAUCGCUAGUAAUCGCGGAUCAGCUUGCCGCGGUGAAUACGUUCCCGGGUCUUGUACACACCGCCCGU